rnacentral:rRNA from 1 species
AUUGAACGCUGGCGGAAUGCUUUACACAUGCAAGUCGAACGGCAGCACGGACUUCGGUCUGGUGGCGAGUGGCGAACGGGUGAGUAAUGUAUCGGAACGUGCCCAGUCGUGGGGGAUAACGUAGUGAAAAUUACGCUAAUACCGCAUACGAUCUAUGGAUGAAAGCGGGGGAUCGCAAGACCUCGCGCGAUUGGAGCGGCCAAUAUCAGAUUAGGUAGUUGGUGGGGUAAAGGCCCACCAAGCCAACGAUCUGUAGCUGGUCUGAGAGGACGACCAGCCACACUGGAACCGAGACACGGUCCAGACUCCUACGGGAGGCAGCAGUGGGGAAUUUUGGACAAUGGGCGAAAGCCUGAUCCAGCCAUUCCGCGUGCAGGAUGAAGGCCCUCGGGUUGUAAACUGCUUUUGUACAGAACGAAAAGGUUUCUACUAAUACUAGGAGCUCAUGACGGUACUGUAAGAAUAAGCACCGGCUACUACGUGCCAGCAGCCGCCGUAA